ACUUGGUCUCCCCACAGGUGGCAAAGAUUCAGGAGCAUAUGGCAUCUGUGCAAAUCCCAUAUCAGACACACACACUCAAAUCACAGGGAGAGAGAAAAACUGUCAAGAGUGUGAUGACUUGGUAAGCUCCUGGAGAAGACUUUCAUGGUGAGCAGCACUGUCCCUAAAGCUAAAGGAAGCUGAGAGAGCUUGGAUAAAGAAGAGAACUUUCAUCCUUCUCUUGGCUGGACUGCAGAACAGCAUUGCACCAUCAUUUCUGAUGGUUCAUGAACUCUGUGAGCACUGCUUCUCAUCCUGACUGUGGUAGCCCUGUGCUAUGGUGCCUGUUGCCGAUUGCAUUUCUGCCUGCCUGAAGGAUGUACACUACCCCCAGGUAACGGGGCUGAAGAGAAAACCAUAAGAUCCAAGGAAUCAUGCGAAUGGAUGUUCAACCUCAGGGGUUAAAUCAGUUAUCUGGUACAGGUCUCCCUUUAGUUCUUUCAUUUAUACCACAUUAGGAGUGCAAUGAAAUUUGAAAUAGCACCUCUGUACCUUUGACAGGCACAAUGAGCCAUGGAUCACUUCUGAAAACCUAAUAUGCCUGGGAAAAUAAAUGCUGUAAACUGUAAACAAAA